rnacentral:misc_RNA from 1 species
AUAACAUUACAAUUUAUAAAUUUCAAACGUCACAAUAAAAUGAAAUAAAAAAAUCAUUUUUAUAAUUCUCGUGUAUGUUGUUUUCCAGAUGUAAGCAUUUCAGGACCUCGCACAGCUACAGGUGUAUGAGAAGUCAAGUCAUGAAGUCAGCCGGACCUACCAGUAGCGAGUUGGCGGUACUAAGAACGAAACUAAAGAAUUUUAUUUUUUGCGAUUUCCUACGGAAUAUACUGAAUUUCAACAAGCAGUUUGUAUGUAUGAUGACGUCACAAGCUUGCAAAUAAACAAUUAAAAAAUGUUAAUAUAUAAAGAUACGAAUUUGU